UGCAGUCGAGCGGUAGAGAGAAGCUUGCUUCUCUUGAGAGCGGCGGACGGGUGAGUAAUGCCUAGGAAUCUGCCUGGUAGUGGGGGAUAACGUUCGGAAACGGACGCUAAUACCGCAUACGUCCUACGGGAGAAAGCAGGGGACCUUCGGGCCUUGCGCUAUCAGAUGAGCCUAGGUCGGAUUAGCUAGUUGGUGGGGUAAUGGCUCACCAAGGCGACGAUCCGUAACUGGUCUGAGAGGAUGAUCAGUCACACUGGAACUGAGACACGGUCCAGACUCCUACGGGAGGCAGCAGUGGGGAAUAUUGGACAAUGGGCGAAAGCCUGAUCCAGCCAUGCCGCGUGUGUGAAGAAGGUCUUCGGAUUGUAAAGCACUUUAAGUUGGGAGGAAGGGCAGUUGCCUAAUACGUAACUGUUUUGACGUUACCGACAGAAUAAGCACCGGCUAACUCUGUG
rnacentral:rRNA from 1 species